rnacentral:rRNA from 1 species
UUGGUAAGGCAACGGCUUACCAAGCCUCUGAUGGGUAGCGGGUGUGAGAGCACGACCCGCGUCAUUGGGACUGAGACACUGCCCAGACACCUACGGGUGGCUGCAGUCGAGGAUCUUCGGCAAUGGGCGCAAGCCUGACCGAGCGACGCCGCGUGUGGGAUGAAGGCCUAGAAGGUUGUAAACCACUGUCGUAGGGGAGGAAGGCCGGGUGAAGAGCCCGGUUUGACCUAGCCUAGGAGGAAGGGUGGGCUAAGU